AGAGCUGACCGAGUAAUCGCUGCAUUGCAGAGGAAAGUCCGGGCUCCAUAGGAAAAAGUGCCAGGUAACUCCUGGAAGUAAGUUUUAAACCUUACUAUGGAAAGUGCAACAGAAAAUAAACCGCCUAAGGGUAAGGUUGAAAAGGUGAGGUAAGAGCUCACCGUGUUUUUUGGUAACAAAAAACAGCUAGGCAAACCCCACUUGGAGCAAGGCCAAAUAGAGAUUUCAUAAUGUUUUCCGCAUUAAAUCUGGGUAGGCCGCUAGAGAUUCAUGGUGACAUGAGUUCGAGAUGAAUGAUUACUUUGAACAGAACCCGGCUUAUGAGUCAGCUCAAUCU
rnacentral:RNase_P_RNA from 1 species